GUCCCUGUCGAGCAUUGGAUAGCGCGUUGGAUUUUUAAUCCAAAGUUCAUGGGUUCGAAUCCCAAAUAGGGUCA